rnacentral:lncRNA from 1 species
AUGGGGAGGCUCAGAAAGGAUCUGGGAGGCCGACAGCCGGGGACGGAUUUGAUUUUGGAGAGGGAAGUCGGCGCCAGGGAAUUUUGCAAGGACUCUGGUCUCACAUCCCCAGACUUGCUCGGGCCGAGUGGCGGCCCGAGCGGGUUCCCGCCGGGUCCGGCUUCCGCGGGAGGGCGGCGGGCGCGUGCGCACUCGCGGGCCACGUUGGCUCUCCCGAUCCCGGGAGCCGGACCUGCCGGGAUGGAGCGCGGACGCGGCGGGGAUACCCGCCGGGCGGGACACCCGGAACUGCCGCCGGCUCGCGCUCCGGGAGCCUGCCCGCGCCGCCCUCUCCUGAGCCGGGGCGGGCAGUCGCCGGGCCCCUGCAUUCGGUUACAAUGUGACACUCGCUGCCUCAGUGCCGCCGGAAGCUGGGGCUGCCCCGGGCCGCCCGAUAGGCCUGCGGGAGGGAAGCUGAGCUUCGCUGUUUUCGGGCUCUGCCACCCGCUUUUCCUCCGACCCCACCCCAUUCUCAUCUCCUCCGGGGCCCAAAAAUCGGCUGAGUCACGGCGCCCCGAAGCACGCCAGGAGGAGGGGAGGGGGGUCGGGAGAGGAGAGGAGGGAGGGGAGGGCCCUGGCGACCCGCGGGAUGUGGCCCGAGUCACGUCCGAGGGGGAACGAGGGGGAAGGGCUCGGGUUCUCGCCGGACAGUCCCCGCCCAAGCGCCGCCUCCCGGCUUCGCCUUUCGGGGGCGGCCUUUCGCACACUUCCUCGCCUGCCAUUGGACGCCUGGGCGCCUCCGGCCCCCUGCAAAGGGAAAAACCCGGCGGGGGGCGGAGCGGUGCCUUUAUAAGGCCGGGAACCACCUCCUGCCCGCCUGCCCCUGCGCCCCGCCUCGGGAGUAGAAUAGGCUGCGUUCCUCUUGGAACGCGCCGCCGAACCAGAGUCCUGGUGACGAUUGCCGCGUUCGCCCCCUCAGUCCACUCCGCCAGCCCUCCACCGCUGCGCCCCGCCAGCCCGCCCCUUUCCUGUGCCAGGUGA